rnacentral:snRNA from 1 species
GGAUGUGAGGGCGAUCUGGCUGCGACAUCUGUCACCCCAUUGAUCGCCAGGGUUGAUUCGGCUGAUCUGGCUGGCUAGGCGGGUGUCCCCUUCCUCCCUCACCGCUCCAUGUGCGUCCCUCCCGAAGCUGCGCGCUCGGUCGAAGAGGACGACCAUCCCCGAUAGAGGAGGACCGUUCUUCGGUCAAGGGUAUACGAGUAGCUGCGCUCCCCUGCUAGAACCUCCAAACAAGCUCUCAAAAUACACUCAAGAAAUUUCAAGACACCAAAAAUAAAAAAAACAUGAGAUAACAGAGAAACAAAUAAAGGAACUC